UAAUAUACAGCCACGUCAGCGCAC
rnacentral:siRNA from 1 species